rnacentral:rRNA from 1 species
GUGGGGAAUAUUGCACAAUGGGCGCAAGCCUGAUGCAGCAACGCCGCGUGAGGGACGACGGCCUUCGGGUUGUAAACCUCUUUUAGCAGGGAAGAAGCGAAAGUGACGGUACCUGCAGAAAAAGCACCGGCUAACUACGUGCCAGCAGCCGCGGUAAUACGUAGGGUGCAAGCGUUGUCCGGAAUUAUUGGGCGUAAAGAGCUCGUAGGCGGUUGGUCGCGUCUGCUGUGAAAACCCGAGGCUCAACCUCGGGCCUGCAGUGGGUACGGGCAGACUAGAGUGCGGUAGGGGAGAUUGGAAUUCCUGGUGUAGCGGUGGAAUGCGCAGAUAUCAGGAGGAACACCGAUGGCGAAGGCAGAUCUCUGGGCCGUAACUGACGCUGAGGAGCGAAAGCGUGGGGAGCGAACAGGAUUAGAAACCCGAGUAGUCC